rnacentral:rRNA from 1 species
UACGUAGGUGGCAAGCGUUGCCCGGAUUUACUGGGCGUAAAGGAUGCGUAGGCGGACAUUUAAGUCAGAUGUGAAAUACCCGAGCUUAACUUGGGUGCUGCAUUUGAAACUGGGUGUCUAGAGUGCAGGAGAGGUAAGUGGAAUUCCUAGUGUAGCGGUGAAAUGCGUAGAGAUUAGGAAGAACACCAGUGGCGAAGGCGACUUACUGGACUGUAACUGACGCUGAGGCAUGAAAGCGUGGGGAGCAAACAGG